AUUCCCCUCGCACGAACAAAAAAUCGGACGACGCCCUAGCCUCCCUCGCACGAAAAAAACCCUCCUCUCAAUGCGGCGCUGCCCCCAUCUCUCGCUCCGCCGCCACCGCUGCUGCCUCCCUCCCGCUCAGCCACCUCCACCGCUCCCACCCUUCUCCCCAUUGUUGGAUCCGCUUGCAUAUCGUCAAGGUUAGGCGGCGAAGCUCCACGUCCGCGAUGCGCACAUGCUCAUCAAGGAAGCGGCUCCCAGAUCUGAGGUCGCGGGGCCGUGACGGAAGGAGCUCGAGGUGGCCGCUGAAGACCAAGCCCCCACCAUGUGGCGUCGAGAACGGCCGGCGGCAUGGUAGGAUGGAGGAGAACGGCCUGGAGUUCGUGCUCGAUCUGGUGGUCAGGUAAGCUCUUUUUGUCCGCCGCCCCUCUGUUGAUUUUUGCAAACCUUUCGUUGUACUCCGGCGCCCGCAGGUUCCCACUUCGGGAAGAGUUCGCCGAUAACCUUAAGCAUUCUGAUCCGGUGCCGCUAAGGCUGCCACCCAGGGGGAGGCUAGCGCUCUUGGCAUGGAGGAUUCAAUUGGUGAAUCUGGUUGCGCCCUGAUGUUAAUCGGGAGGCACUUGGAUGGACGAAAAGGGAAAGCCUAAGGCUGGGAAUAGUCGAUCAUGCAUGUACAAGUGUCCCGCACUGAUCAGGGUGGUGUCGUGAGGACAAACCUUGAGAUCGAGAGACAUGCGAGCAAGCUGUACACAAGAGCCAUGGUUGAGCAGUUUGGCGAACGGUUGUUCGAGGCUACUACCUACAAGGUCACUGAGCUUGAGAAAGGUCGAGGGUACCUGACAACAUACAAUAAUGCUUCAAAGCGAGAGAGAUGGAGCAGGGUGGUGUAAGAGGUCAUGAUUGAGGACGGAGGUUCUGAAUUCGAGUGCGAAUGUGGGCAUUUUGAAUACACAGAUAUGCUAUGUUGCCAUGUGCUUAGUGUAAGUGUUGUCCUGUUAAAGGGAGGAUAGUGGCAUGUUGUGCACUAUGUUUGCGAAUUAACAGGACUGUACCUCUGGUCACGGCUGAGAAGGGUAAGACUAAGAUUGCAAUGUGAGCUGUGAUUGAUAUGUAGAAGCCUGGAAGAUGCAAUAACUGCAGCCUCGAAGGUGACUGCCGGUACACCUGCACCAUACCUAGGCCUCUUGGAGCAUUUGAAAUCCCUGUAAGACUUAGGAUUUUCUGGUGUGUUUCAGUGAGCAUUUGCUCCAUGCUUGUUCCUCUUAUUCAAGAUGGCAGACUUGUUGAAAAGGUUGAGUUUACUUUCUUGUUGUAGUUCAAUAAAUUGGUUGGGUUUACAUUUCGGAAGCUUUAAAAUCUGAAGUUUUGCAAGUACUUGAUUGACAUUUCUGCUGGAUUACCAUUCUGAACAGCUGCCUGACAGGGUCAAGUAUGCCAUUGACGGAUACUUCAAGUUUUGGAUUUGCAGUGAGCGCUUGGAGCAGCAACCUGAUGCCAGAUGAAGAAAGCCACGAUGCCGACGAGUGACCUUCAAUGUUGCAUAUGCAUUGCUAUAAGACUGUAUCUGAAUGCCCGUACAUUGAACAACAAUGACAGUUUUUGUCUUCUGGCCUAUGAAAGCUCCGUCUAAGGAAGGCUGACUCAAGGAUCCAUGCCCUUGAUUCUUGCUCCGAAAGUGGACCUGAAAAAACUACAAGUUCGACGAUUGCGCGAGGAACACAAUGGGUUUUCUCUGAAUCAUCUGAAAAAGAGGAGGCGACGACUGGUGGCUGUUCUCUUUACACUUGGCGUGGUUGAGAGGCUAGGGAGCAGGCAAUUUUGCUAUUUGGUCAAUGAUGGAGAUGAAUUCGGGAGAGAUGUGGACGGGAGUUGUACAUGUAAUUUUUCUAUCCUCUCUAUGUUACCCAUUUGCACUAAUCGGUAACUGUUCUUUGAGCAGGGAAUAGUGUAGCGUACACGAACAGAAAAAUUGUAGAAGGCGAGUAGGACAAUCUGAGCUACAAACAUUAUGUUUUUUUAGUGAACGGCCAACAUUAUGUUGAGUAUUGAGAUGUAGGCAAGACAUGUAUAAUCUGAAUUGAGACAUAUGGAGGGCAUGUAUAGUCUAUAUGUGCAGUUUUUAA